rnacentral:rRNA from 1 species
UACGGAGGGGACUAGCGUUGUUCGGAAUUACUGGGCGUAAAGCGCACGUAGGCGGAUUUGUAAGUCAGGGGUGAAAUCCCGGGGCUCAACCUCGGAACUGCCUUUGAUACUGCAAAUCUCGAGUCCGGAAGAGGUGAGUGGAAUUCCUAGUGUAGAGGUGAAAUUCGUAGAUAUAGUGAAGAACACCAGUGGCGAAGGCGG